UACGGAGGGUGCAAGCGUUAUCCGGAUUCACUGGGUUUAAAGGGUGCGUAGGCGGGCAGGUAAGUCAGUGGUGAAAUCUCCGGGCUUAACCCGGAAACUGCCGUUGAUACUAUCUGUCUUGAAUGUCGUGGAGGUGAGCGGAAUAUGUCAUGUAGCGGUGAAAUGCUUAGAUAUGACAUAGAACACCAAUUGCGAAGGCAGCUGGCUACACAUAUAUUGACACUGAUGCACGAAAGCGUGGGGAUCAAACAGG
rnacentral:rRNA from 1 species